AUUGAACGCUGGCGGCGGGCCUAACACAUGCAAGUCGAACGGGUGGCGGACUGGUGAGUAGUUUCUGGAAAACUGCCUGAUGUAGGGGGAUAACUGCUGGAAACGGUAGCUAAUACCGCAUACCAUCAGAUGUGCCCAUAUGGGAUUAGCUAGUUGGGGGGGUAACGGCUCACCAAGGCGACGAGCCCUAGCUGGUCUGAGAGGAUGACCAGCCACACUGGAACUGAGACACGGUCCAGACUCCUACGGGAGGCAGCAGUGGGGAAUAUUGCACAAUGGGCGAAAGCCUGAUGGAGCAAUGCCGCGUGUAUGAAGAAGGCCUUCGGGUUGUAAAGUACUUUUAGUGGGGAGGCGUUACCCGACGAAGAAGCAACGGCUAACUCCGUGCCAGCAGCCGCGGUAAUAC
rnacentral:rRNA from 1 species